GCGAACGCUUGCGGCGAGCCUAACACAUGCAAGUCGAGCGCCUGUAGCAAUACAGGAGCGGCGGACGGGUGAGUAACACGUAGGUCAUCUGCCUCUCGGUGGGGGAUAACCAGGGGAAACUCUGGCUAAUACCGCAUGAGGUCCACGGAUCAAAGCAGCAAUGCGCCGGGAGAUGAGCUUGCGUCCGAUUAUUUAAUCCUAGUUGGCGGGGUAAUGGCCCACCAAGGGUACGAUCGGUAGCUGGUCUGAGAGGACGAUCAGCCACACUGGAACUGAGACACGGUCCAGACUCCUACGGGAGGCAGCAGUGGGGAAUAUUGCGCAAUGGGGGAAACCCUGACGCAGCUACGCCGCGUGGGUGAUGAAGGCCUUCGGGUUGUAAAGCCCUGUCCGUGGGGACGAAAACUGACGGUACCCACGAAGAAAGCACCGGCUAACCCUG
rnacentral:rRNA from 1 species